UUAGCGGCGGACGGGUGAGUAACACGUGGGCAACCUGCCUGUAAGACUGGGAUAACUUCGGGAAACCGAAGCUAAUACCGGAUAGGAUCUUCUCCUUCAUGGGAGAUGAUUGAAAGAUGGUUUCGGCUAUCACUUACAGAUGGGCCCGCGGUGCAUUAGCUAGUUGGUGAGGUAACGGCUCACCAAGGCAACGAUGCAUAGCCGACCUGAGAGGGUGAUCGGCCACACUGGGACUGAGACACGGCCCAGACUCCUACGGGAGGCAGCAGUAGGGAAUCUUCCGCAAUGGACGAAAGUCUGACGGAGCAACGCCGCGUGAGUGAUGAAGGCUUUCGGGUCGUAAAACUCUGUUGUUAGGGAAGAACAAGUACAAGAGUAACUGCUCGUACCUUGACGGUACCUAACCAGAAAGCCACGGCUAACUACGUGCCAGCAGCCGCGGUAAUACGUAGGUGGCAAGCGUUAUCCGGAAUUAUUGGGCGUAAAGCGCGCGCAGGCGGUUUCUUAAGUCUGAUGUGAAAGCCCACGGCUCAACCGUGGAGGGUCAUUGGAAACUGGGGAACUUGAGUGCAGAAGAG
rnacentral:rRNA from 2 species